rnacentral:misc_RNA from 1 species
GAUAGAUGAAGAACGUAGCGAAAUGCGAUAAGUAAUGUGAAUUGCAGAAUUCAGUGAAUCAUCGAAUCUUUGAACGCACAUUGCGCCCGUCAGUAUUCUGGCGGGCAUGCCUGUUCGAGCGUCAUUACGCCCCUCAAGUCCCCUGUGGACUUGGUGUUGGGGAUCGGCGAGGCUGGUUUUCCAGCACAGCCGUCCCUUAAAUUAAUUGGCGGUCUCGCCGUGGCCCUCCUCUGCGCAGUAGUAAAACACUCGCAACAGGAGCCCGGCGCGGUCCACUGCCGUAAAACCCCCCAACUUUUUAUAGUUGACCUCGAAUCAGGUAGGACUACCCGCUGAACUUAAGCAUAUCAAUAAGCGGAGGA